rnacentral:rRNA from 1 species
UGGGGAAUAUUGCACAAUGGGCGCAAGCCUGAUGCAGCGACGCCGCGUGAGGGAUGACGGCCUUCGGGUUGUAAACCUCUUUCAGUAGGGAAGAAGCGAAAGUGACGGUACCUGCAGAAGAAGCGCCGGCUAACUACGUGCCAGCAGCCGCGGUAAUACGUAGGGCGCAAGCGUUAUCCGGAAUUAUUGGGCGUAAAGAGCUCGUAGGCGGUUUGUCGCGUCUGCCGUGAAAGUCCGGGGCUCAACUCCGGAUCUGCGGCGGGUACGGGCAGACUAGAGUGAUGUAGGGGAGACUGGAAUUCCUGGUGUAGCGGUGAAAUGCGCAGAUAUCAGGAGGAACACCGAUGGCGAAGGCAGGUCUCUGGGCAUUAACUGACGCUGAGGAGCGAAAGCAUGGGGAGCGAACAGGAUUAGAUACCCCAGUAGUCCCUGAGCGGGCUGGCAAGGCGCAU